rnacentral:tRNA from 1 species
GCCUGUGUGGCUCAGUUGGUUGAGCAUCUGAUUCUUGAUUUAGGCUCAGGUCAUAAUCUCAUGGUUGUGGGAUUGAGACCCACAUCAGGCU